rnacentral:rRNA from 1 species
UGGGGAAUAUUGCGCAAUGGGGGAAACCCUGACGCAGCAACGCCGCGUGAAGGAAGAAGGUUUUCGGAUUGUAAACUUCUUUUAUCCAGGACGAAUAAAUGACGGUACUGGAUGAAUAAGCCACGGCUAACUACGUGCCAGCAGCCGCGGUAAUACGUAGGUGGCAAGCGUUGUCCGGAUUUACUGGGUGUAAAGGGCGAGUAGGCGGGACUACAAGUCAGUAGUGAAAUACCACGGCUUAACCGUGGUUCUGCUAUUGAAACUGUAGUUCUUGAGUAAUGGAGAGGCAGGCGGAAUUCCCGGUGUAGCGGUGGAAUGCGUAGAGAUCGGGAGGAACACCAGUGGCGAAGGCGGCCUGCUGGACAUCAACUGACGCUGAGGAGCGAAAGCGUGGGGAGCAAACAGG